rnacentral:rRNA from 1 species
UGGGGGAAUUUUUCCGCAAUGGGCGAAAGCCUGACGGAGCAAUGCCGCGUGGAGGUGGAAGGCCUACGGGUCGUCAACUUCUUUUCUCGGAGAAGAAACAAUGACGGUAUCUGAGGAAUAAGCAUCGGCUAACUCUGUGCCAG